GUACCUCAUUGCCCUCCAGGAUGUGGGAACAUGGCGGCCGCUCCGGUGGGGAUCUCCAAUGAAUGCCUGGAAAUGUUGGUCCCUUGUCCCACUGAGGAUGAUUUAACAUCUCAUUUCAGAAAUGAACUGCAUGCUGAAUUUCAGGCAGUCCUGGAUCUAGAAAAACAUCUGUGAAAUGAUGUCACAAGCAGGUAGAAAGAAGAUAGACUGCACUGGACCAUCCAAGUGAACUCCAGGGCUGGGUGGAUCCUAGAAAUGCUACUGAGGUUUCUCUACUGUGAGCAACAAAUGAGGAUAAUUGGAAUCAGUACUUUCUAUGUAAUAGGAAAAACUGACAGCCAUGGACCAAGUGGUGGUGGAGAAUGUUGUCUGCGCCCUCGAGGGAGGGCAUCUAUUUGGCAAGCAUCUCAGAGACAAAGGCAAGCUAUGAUAUAAUACAUGGGCCAGUAACCCUUCAAGUCUUCAUCCUUCCAUGCAUCGUGGCCAAUUCUCUACUUUGAAAGCAAUUCAGUUUCCAGCAUGUGAGUUUCAGUGUCCUACAGAGCAAGAAGAUUCCUCAGUGGUUCUUUGGACAUCUUGGAAACCACCACACUAAUCCCUGCUGUGAAGGAGGAAAAAGCCAGAAUCCUGGAGUUGUUUAUCUUCUGAGACUCAUCCUGUGUGGCCCAGCUUGGACUCUUCGCAUGGAGGCUGAGGAUCCGGCACCCCACAGCCAUCAGGACUUGGCACCAUUUGUAAACUGCGAGAUCGGUAGAGGGAGGGGCCUGUUACUAGGCAGCGAAAGAGAAGUUUCUGCUCAUUCUUUCCUUAUGUGAAUUCAUUUCUAUUCGGAGUUUGGGUAAUGCAUAGAAAUUCAUAUGCUGAAUCUGACAAUUGAAAAAGGAAAAGAAAAAUGUACACUAGAUUUUAAGAUACCCUCAAGGAGUCUUUUACUUUGGACUCAGUGGAUAGCUUCUUUCCUUUGAUUUUCUGCCCAUAGUACUUUUCAUUGAAAGGUAGAAUGAGAGGCCCUGAAAUUCCUUAGGGCUCAGUUUCCCCUUUGCUUUUUUCAGAGGAACUGAAGUGUUUCGCUUUGAAGGAGAUUAUUGAGGGGUCUUUGUUAUUUCUCACCCAGUAAAAAACUAAGGCCUUGAGGCUCCUGGACAAAUGUGUUCCCACACUCAUGUUUCUGAAGCAGUCAAUGUAGUGGCGAUCAAGGGCAGCUUAUUGGCUAUUCAGAAGCAGUUGUGACACUGAAGUGGAGCUGGGCCUCCUCCCCCUGUGGGCUAAACACGCCCUGGAUUCCUCUGCCUCUGGGUGGCACAGUCCUCUGAUUCACUGGGUCCUGGUGGGUUGAGAUGCUGCGGGGAAGCCUGAACUGCAUGGUCUCCUGGGCAAUUCUGCCCAUCAUUGGCCUUCAGGAAGGAGUCUUGAGGCAGAGCAUCUUACAGGGUGUCUUCUCCAUCUGGUUUCACUUUCAGGAGUCAGGAUAUCCAUGAAAGAGAAGAUGCGACUCUUCUGAAUUCAGAGUGGCUCUUGGCUCAUGGAACUUUCCAGGAAGUGUGUGCCUAGACCAGCCUUAGUACUUUUCUUUCCUCAGAUCUGCUUUUAGAAGAGCUUCAAAAAUAGCAUGGAAAUCAGUGAGUUUCUAGCAGAAGCCAUGAUGCUAAGAGAAGCUGUGGCUCAUUCUACACUAAUGAUGAGGCCAGAGCUCCCAAAGAGUUCAUCCAGCUCUAAAGAUACAAAGGCACCAGGAAGUGAGACUGCGCUGGACCAUGCAAAUGAACCCAAGGACGGUGGGGAUGCUAGAAAUGCUACUGUCAGCAAUAGAUGAAGACUCCUCGCUGGUUACCUGGACAACUUGGAAGCCACCACACAAAUCCUUCUGUUAAGGAAGAAGAAGCCUGUAUCCCUAGGGUUGUUCCUCUUCUGAGACUCAUCCUUUAUGGCCGAGCUUGGACUCUUCACGGGCAGACUGACAGGACUCAGCACCCCACAGCCGUCCGGACUUGCCACCAUAGGAGUCAGUAUGUCCAUGAAAGAGAAGAUGCGACUCUUCUGAAUUCAGAGUGGCUCUUUGCUCAUGGAACUUCCCAGGAAGUGUGUGCCUAGCCUAGCCUUGGCCCUUUUGUUUCCUCAGGAAAUCUGGAAAAGACUGCCAGAAGAACUGUUACACUACCCCAAAGCCACCCUGAAUGACCAUCAAGCGAUGAAUCUUCAAACAUGGAGACCUCUAUUCCAGCCAAGGGCAAGAAGACUCCUCGCUACUUAACUGGACAUCUUGGAUCUUGGAAGUCACCACACUAAUUUUGAUAUGAAGAAAGAAAAAGCCCGGAUCCUGGGAUUGUUCAUCUUCUGAAACUCAUCCUUUGUUUCCCAGCUUGAACUCUUCACGCGGAGUCUGACAGGGCUCAGCACCCAACAGCCGUGAGGACUUGCUACCAUUUGUAACCUGUGAGGUUUGUAGAGGGAGGGCCUGUUACUUGGCAAGGGCAGAGCAGUUGCUGCUCAUUAUUUCACUAUGUGAAUUCACUGCUAUUCUGGGUAUGUAGAACAGAGUACUUCACGUGCUGACAUGUCAUAAUUUGAAAAGGACAAGAAAAACUUACAUUAGUGUUUAAGAUAUUCUCAAAGAAUCUUUUACUGUGGACUCGCUGGAGUCCUUGUCCUGUGACUUUUCACUGGCAGUACUUUCAUUGAAAAGGUCGCCUGAGAGGCCCUGAGGUUCCUUAGGGCUCAAGCUCACCUUUCCUUUUUUCAGAGGAAUUGAAGUGUGCAGGUUUAACAGGAUUAUUAGCAUUUUUUCUUUUCUUGUUAUACUGCUAAUGUGUCAAAUUAUUUGAUAUACUUAGGUGACGAGGGUCUUUGUUAUUUCCUACCCCAUGUAAAACGAAGGCCUUAGAAACACUGGAAAAUGUGUUGCUAAGCCCAGUUUUCUGAAACAGACAAUGUAAAGGGCAACCGAGGGCAGCUUAUUUGUGAUUCAAAAGCAGUUGUUACACAAGUGGAACUGGGCCUCCUCCACCUCAUUGUUAAGCUUGGGCUGGAUACCACUGCCUUUGGGUGUCCUAACACCUCUGGGUUCAUUGUGUCACUGGUUGGUUGAGAGGCCAUGGGGAAGACAAACUGAAUGGUCUCAUGAAAAAUUCUGCUGAACAUUGGCAUUCAGGGAGGAGUUUUGAAGCAGAGGAUCUUACAGGGUGUCUUCUCCAUCCGGUUGAGCUCUCAGGAGUCAGGAUGUCCAUGAAAGAGGAGAUGCAACUCCUCUGAAUUCAGUGUGGGUUAUGCUCCCGGAACAUUGCAGGAAGUGCAUACCUAGCCCAGCCUUAGCACUAUUCUUUCCUCUGGCAUGCAUGUGCGAAUGCGCACUCACUCUUGCGAACAGUAAAGUACUCAAAUUUUCAGUGUGACAUAUUCCAGGACAAAACCAGGUUUCUUUAGAAAUGCUUUUUCGGGCCGGGGAUUUGGCUCAAUGGUUCUGCCGCCUGCCUUGCAAGCGCAAGGACCCGAGUUCGAUCCCUGGUACCAAAGAAAAAAAAGAAAAGAAAUGCUUUUUCAUGCAACUUACUCAUAAAGGCAAACAGAACAGA